rnacentral:rRNA from 1 species
GAUGAACGCUGGCGGCGUGCCUAAUACAUGCAAGUCGAGCGAACGGACGAGAAGCUUGCUUCUCUGAUGUUAGCGGCGGACGGGUGAGUAACACGUGGAUAACCUACCUAUAAGACUGGGAUAACUUCGGGAAACCGGAGCUAAUACCGGAUAAUAUUUUGAACCGCAUGGUUCAAAAGUGAAAGACGGUCUUGCUGUCACUUAUAGAUGGAUCCGCGCUGCAUUAGCUAGUUGGUAAGGUAACGGCUUACCAAGGCAACGAUGCAUAGCCGACCUGAGAGGGUGAUCGGCCACACGGGAACUGAGACGCGGUCCAGACUCCUACGGGAGGCAGCAGUAGGGAAUCUUCCGCAAUGGGCGAAAGCCUGACGGAGCAACGCCGCGUGAGUGAUGAAGGUCUUCGGAUCGUAAAACUCUGUUAUUAGGGAAGAACAGAUGUGUAAGUAACUGUGCACAUCUUGACGGUACCUAAUCAGAAAGCCACGGCUAACUACGUG